rnacentral:rRNA from 1 species
UACGUAGGGGGCAAGCGUUGUCCGGAAUUAUUGGGCGUAAAGAGCGUGUAGGCGGUCCGGUAAGUCGGCUGUAAAAGUCAAAGGCUCAACCUUUGAAUGUCAGUGGAUACUGCCGGGCUAGAGUCCGGAAGAGGCGAGUGGAACUCCUGGUGUAGCGGUGGAAUGCGCAGAUAUCAGGAAGAACACCAACGGCGAAGGCAGCUCGCUGGGACGGUACUGACGCUGAGACGCGAAAGCGUGGGGAGCGAACAGG